CUAGAGUUUGGUGUAAAUUUUACCUGCUGUUACUUGAAUUAAUUGCAUAUGGUUGCCAAGAGAUGAUGUCUUUACUCUAGGGGGUAAGAGCAGGGACCCUGGACCUAAACUGCCUGGGUUAGAAUAAGAAUCCCCUCUGCCAUUUACUAAUGGUAGGACAUUGGGUAAACAUAAUUUUAAGCUUAAGGUGACUCAAUAUAUAUGGGGGUAAUUAGAAUAACAACAGUUCACGUGUGUAUUAUGAGGAACACCUGAGUUAACAUCUGGAAAGUACUCAGAAAUGUAUCUGGGUGUUUGCAAAAAAAAAAAAAAUUAAAUAAAGAUAGAUGAGAAGGAUUGUGUGCUAUCUGCUCGCAGUUUCACUGAUUUUUGUGGGCCCUAGGGACUUUUGCCUUCCUGGGCCUCUCCCUCCACUAAAAUAAUAAAAUUAAUAACGUUAUUAAAAUUACACAAACGUAAAUGUAUUAACAUUACAUACUAGAGCCUUUUGGUCAACUUCACAGUUAAUAUUUAUCUUCUGAUUUCAGAGAAAAUGACAAAAUUUUCAUGAGCCAUUGAAAGUACUGAGGGGCCUGGGCUCUGUGCCGACCGUGCCUAAAGGAUUUAGACCUGCGUGCACCCGAAUAUGAAAUUAAAAAGCAUGGUUAUCCGAGUAGGAAAUAAAAUUACCCACAUACACAGGCAUAGGUACACGCAGUGCUCACACGAAAUCCCCUACAAUUACGAGGACGGUAAACAGGGGCUGGGCAAGCCGGGCGUCCUGCGCGGCCACUGCGAGGGUGUCCUCGGCCACUGGGCAGCGAGGCCGGGCCAGCUCGGAAACCGCCGGAGAGGAGGCCGACCAGGGAAGCUGCUGCCCCGCGGCUCGGUCCGCGCACCGCUCGGUUCCGCGCUGUCAUCUGCGGACGGCCCGCUGGAUUGUUACGAACGUCCAGCGGCCGCGCGGCGAGGCCGGGUCGCCACGGUUUGCGCACCAGAAAGGGACGAAACGGGAAACAGCCUGCCGGCGGCGACGCCACCAACCGAGAAAACGAACGACCCCACCGCGGAGCCCGAAAAACGAAACGUGGCGCAGGCGCAACGUGAGGCUCGUUGGGGGCGGGACGCGUGCCGCGGAAACGGCCCAAUCAGGGGGCGUCAUGGACGGGCGUUGCAGGAAGGCCCACUGAGGGAACGAGCGUGGGGGGCGCGGCAGGACAGACCAAUGAGAAAGCCGGCGUGUGGGGGCGUCGCAGGACGGGCCAAUGAGAGAGCCGGCGUGGGGGCGUGGCUAUGAGACUGGCGGUGCGGAGGCGGGGCCUGCCGGGCCACAGGGUCAUUUCCAUGACUGCGUGGACGCGGAGGAUGCAGGACAGUCGCUGCGAAUUUUUAGGACUUUCCAGUUCCAGUUUAGACCUGAAUGUGACGGGUUUGUGUUGCUGUUUGGCAUUCGUAAUUCAAGGAAAUCCCUUCUUCUGGUUGAAAGCACGGUGUCAUUCCCUGGCCUUCCUGCAUCAGCAUCACCUGGAUAAUACAACCGGCAAAUAACCGGAUCCUGCUACAGAUCUGGUGCUGGAAGUGACACCUCAAAUGUCAGCUGAGCUAACCCAAGCUGCUUACCUUCAAGGUCGUCACCAGAGCCAAAACAGUGCUUAGGCUUUACCCACUCAGACUUCGAUGCCAGAAGAUAAAGUGAAAAAUAUAUGUGUGUCUAAAAAGGAGAGAUCUCGGGGAAUGAUUUGGGUCAACAAGGAAUGUGGAAUUCCAUUUCUCCACAAAUUUUAUUGACCCUAACAUCUCAUUUACAGACUUUUUGCCCUCCUCAUUUAGACUUCUCCAGCAAACAUAGUCCAUGGUAAAUAAUGAUUCUCUGUAGGCCUGUAACAGCAGUAAAUUCUAUUUUCAUAAUUAAAACAACAAAUAAAA